CUACGUGCCAGCAGCCGCGGUAAUACGUAGGGCGCAAGCGUUGUCCGGAAUUAUUGGGCGUAAAGAGCUCGUAGGCGGCUGGUCGCGUCUGUCGUGAAAACUUCCGGCUCAACCGGGGGCUUGCGGUGGGUACGGGCCGGCUAGAGUGCGGUAGGGGUAACUGGAACUCCUGGUGUAGCGGUGGAAUGCGCAGAUAUCAGGAGGAACACCGAUGGCGAAGGCAGGUCUCUGGGCUGUAACUGACGCUGAGAAGCGAAAGCAUGGGGAGCGAGCAGGAUUAGAUACCCUGGUAGUCCAUGCCGUAAACGUUGGGCACUAGGUGUGGGGAACAUUCCACGUUUUCCGCGCCGUAGCUAACGCAUUAAGUGCCCCGCCUGGGGAGUACGGCCGCAAGGCUAAAACUCAAAGAAAUUGACGGGGGCCCGCACAAGCGGCGGAGCAUGCGGAUUAAUUCGAUGCAACGCGAAGAACCUUACCAAGGCUUGACAU
rnacentral:rRNA from 1 species